GACGAACGCUGGCGGCGCGCCUAACACAUGCAAGUCGAACGAGCGAGAGAGAGCUUGCUUUCUUGAGCGAGUGGCGAACGGGUGAGUAACGCGUGAGGAACCUGCCUCAAAGAGGGGGACAACAGUUGGAAACGACUGCUAAUACCGCAUAAGCCCACGGUGCCGCAUGGCACAGAGGGAAAAGGAGCAAUCCGCUUUGAGAUGGCCUCGCGUCCGAUUAGCUAGUUGGUGAGGUAACGGCCCACCAAGGCGACGAUCGGUAGCCGGACUGAGAGGUUGAACGGCCACAUUGGGACUGAGACACAGCCCAGACUCCUACGGGAGGCAGCAGUGGGGAAUAUUGCACAAUGGGGGAAACCCUGAUGCAGCUACGCCGCGUGGAGGAAGAAGGUCUUCGGAUUGUAAACUCCUGUUGUUGGGGAAGAUAAUGACGGUACCCAACAAGGAAGUGACGGCUAACUACGUG
rnacentral:rRNA from 1 species